rnacentral:piRNA from 1 species
UAUGUACAACCAUAUUGUGCG